GCACAAAUUUGCUUGCUGGCAACCAUGUGAGAUGGGACUUUCUCCUCCUUGACUUUCGCCAUGAUUGUGAGGCCUUCCCAGCCAUGUGGAACUCUUCUUUCGUGGCAAUUUUCCCCCAGGAGGGAUUUCCCUGCAGUGGACCUCCUCCCCAGUGGUACCUUCAGCCAUCAGAACACCUCGCUUUAGAUCUGUGGGUCCCAAAUUUCAUCAAAUCCAAUGACCAUUUCUAUGAUCACUCAUUCUGGGGGCAGCCCUCUGGCAUGUAAUGAGCAGUCCUAUGGAGAGGCCCAUGUGACAGUAGCCAUGCGAGUGACACUGGAAGUGAAACCUGCAGCUCCAGUCAAGCCUUUAGAAGACUGCAGCCCUGGCUGACAGCUUGACAGCAAACUCAUGAGAGACUCUCAGCUUGAACAACUCAGCUAAACUGUUCCUGGGUUCCUGGUCCUCAAAAACUGUUAUAAAAGACAUUGUGGCUACCAUCUCUCAUCACUCACUCAAAGGGAAGCCAACCACCAUGCAAUGAGAAUCUCAGGUAAUGAGGACCUGAGACCUGUUGUCAAUCACGUGAAUAAGCUUGGGAGGAGAUUCUCCAGCCCCAGUCAAGCCUCAGAAGACUUCAGCCCUAGGUGACAGCUUGAUGAUAAUCUCGGGAGGCAGAACCACCCAACUAAGCCACUCCUGGAUUCCUGACCCUGACCCUGACCCUAGAAACAGUGUGAGCUGGAAUUCUGUGAAGCACAUGACCUCAAGUCUUUGGAUAAAUGGAAACGCAGCUUAUGCCGGAAAGAUGGAAGGCUGGCUGUACUAAUAUCAGAAAUGGAAGAGGAGAGACAUCACUAGAGAUCCCAUGGAUAUUGAAAGGAUAAUAAAGGAGUAUUAUGAGCAUUGUUAUAUUUUAUGUCUCCUAUAAGCUGUAAAUUCCUACAUAGCAAGAAUUCUGUCUUACUCAUCCUUUAACAACUACUGUGUACCUUAUAAUGUUUCAUAAAAUAUUAUGAUUUGGUUUUAUUAUUCACAAAAGAAUGCUAUAAGAGGUGAAAAAUGGAGAGGCUAGAAAGCAUAAAAACAAGUUACAUCAGGUGGUAGAGCCUGGUUUAAGGGUCAAAGAUAAAAGAAGGGAAGGUUAAGGGCAGGGCUUUAGAGGGAGAGAGGAUAAACACAGUUUGAUUAAAUGGCUGAUUCAGCCGGGUGUGGCGGCUCAUGCGUAUAAUCCCAACACUUUGAAAGGCUGAGGCAGGAGGAUUGCUUGAGCCUAGGAGUUCAAGACCAGCCUGGGCAACAUGGAGAAAUCCUAUCUCUACCAAAAUACAAAUACAAAAACAAAAAUUAGCCAGGUGUGGUUAUAUACACCUGUAGUCCCAGCUGCUUGGGAGGCAGAGGUGGGAGGAUUGGUUAGGUCUAGGAAGUUGAGGCUGCAGUGACCUAUGAUUGCUCCACUGCACUCUAGCCUUGGUGACACAGAGAGAUCCUGUCUCAAAACAAAAACAAACAACAACAACAAAAAACAUAUAUAUAUAUAUAUGAGGUUUAUCCACAGUAAAGUUCAGUCUAGGGUUAAUAAAAGAUUCUAGGGUUCACUAAGACAAAGAGUAGUCGCAGUAGCAGAGCCUUGGGUGAAGCUAAGGUCCCCAGGAGAUCUGGGAUGUCUGUGAGGAACAGUGAGGCUUAGUCAUUCAGACAAGCCAGCAGAAGUGAAGUUUAGAGAAUGUGGAUGGGCCUCAGGCUCUAGACAUCAAAACAAACAGAUAGAAAAGGCAGAGUGUAGAAUCCAGACAGUGAGGCUCACAACAAGGUAUGCAAUUCUGCAUAAGCAGAUUUGAGGGGACACCAACUAUGGACUGAUGUAGAUAAAUAUUUCUGGUAAUUCCAGUUAGUGAUUCACUCUGAACUCACAUAGGAUAGUAUCUCUUCAAAGGCACUUGUGUUGUAAUUAAAUGCACACAUAAGACAUAAUGCUUAUUGAGCCCUUAGCAUGUACCACCCACUCUUAUGCAUACUAUAUGUUUAAACCAUUUAAACUCACACCAACCCCCUGGGGGUAGGUAGUAUUAUUAUCCCUGUUACAGAUAAGGAAAGUGAGAAGUAGGAGUUAAUUGGUCUCAUGAUCCCCUACAGGCUGGCCUUCCAGAAAAAGGAGGUAACUUGCCCCAGGAUACCCUGGAAACCAAUCAGAAUGAAUUGCCUUAAACUCUGGCUUGUAGCCCAAAGCAAGGCUUGCCCACAAGUCUUGCCAGUAUGUGGUUGAACAGAAAUUAGAAUCCAGACAGCCUGAGUCCUUUUCUUGCCAGGCAGGGGCUGGGGCUUCCCCAACCAUGAAAGUUCAGGUGGUAGAUCCUGCCACUGCUUUGCACACCAGCUCCCUGGUGCUAACCUCAACUGCCAGUGCUGAGCUGGAAGGAUAGGGCUGGAGGCAAACUCCUACCCCAUCAUGUUGCUGGUGUAUUCCAUCCUGGUAUUGGUCACACCAAGGAAGGGCCUGGACUUUCCUAAUCAUGCAGCUUAAAAGCAACACAAGGCAAGGCGGGGAGUCCGCUCUCCUGAAGUCUGACAUCCAGGAAGACCAGAUUGCUAUGUGCUGUCUUUGACUUACUUGGAGACUCACACACCUACACUAGUGCCCCCUUAUCUGAGGGGGAUGCAUUCCAAGACCCCCAGUGGAUGCUUGAAACCAUAAAUAAUACCAAACCCUACAUAUACUAUGUUUUUUCAUAUAUAUACCUAUGAUAAAAUUUAAUUUAUAUAAUAGAUUAGGCAGAGACUAAUAACAAUAACUAAUAAUAAAAUAGAAGAAUUAUAACAACAUACUAUAAUAAAAGUUAACGUGAACAUUGUUUGUCUCAAAAUAUCUUAUUGUAUGUAAUAUUUUUGGACUGUGGUUGUUCAUAGCAAGUGAAAACUCAGAUGGGGGAGGGUGGCAUACUGUAUUUAUUUUCCUGUAUCCAUUAGUGUUUCCCAGUGAACACUGCACCAGGAGGUUGGCCAUUUGUCUUUAUUUAUACAUCAAACUAAGGCAUGGAGAAUAAGAGCUUGGUAAGGUCAUAUAGCCAGGAGGUGGUUGAACUGAGAUUCAAACUGAGACAGUCUGAGUCCAAAUUCUACCACCUCUUGUGUGUGACAUUUAAUGGAUAGGUGGGCUUUUGUAACCAGUGUCUCUGCCUUUCUCCAUGAUUCACAGCACAGAAACUUGUGCAUACAUUCUCACUUGAUAUCUGAAUGACUGUAACAGUGAUGUAAAUUAACAAGGAAGGGAGAUAGCCCUGAUUUAAUUGGAAAUCACUGACAGAGCUCGCCCAGUAAACUCUCUACAAACAGAAUACAAAUGUUUUGUAUUUAAUUGCUAAAGUGUUUUAAAAUUGAACUCAAAUUAAUAAAUACUUAUUGUAUCUGUCAGUUAAACGAAACAACCAAUAAACAACCAACUCUGUUUUCUAAUCAAGAGGGACUGAUCCUUUAAAAAAAAUAGGGUUUAAAAAAGAUGAUAUGAUCAAUGUAAAAUUGGAUUAUAGACUUUUAGAGUCUUAAAAGAUGAGAAAAGAGAUAAAGAUGAAUAGAUAUGGAGUAACUAGGAUAAGACUCUCUCACAAACUGGACCUUAAACAGAUUUAGGAAGAAAUAUAGGAUUAGGAUAGAGAAAAAGAAGAGAAAGAAUUGCCUAUAGGCAUAAUAAAAAGCACAAGUGUAUCAAUCAACACAGGGUAUUGUGGACCAGUGAGGAAGGAUCAUGAUCUAGACUAGGGGAUUCAUGUUGGAAACAGUGAGACAAGUUAGAAAGGAUAGGAUGGGACAUAUUAUAUGGUUCCAAACAUAAUAAAUGAGCACUUGAGCUAGAAAGUAGUAUAAUGUUCACAGGUGGUAAAGAGGUAUAAUGAAAAAACUAUACUUCACAAAAAUUAGUGGUGUUCAGUGGGUUGGAGAGAAGACCAAUUAGAAGGUUAUCUGUGGAAUUACAACAACCCAGUGAAUUGAGCUGAUGGAGAGAGAUGCUCCUCCCACUACCAACACUCAAACAUAAGGCAAAAAUAUUUAUAGGUGAUGAGUAAUGAUGAAAAAACAAAAGAACAAAUGAUAGAUGACAUGAAGAAUGGGAGUAGGGAAGACCAUAUUUAAGACUCUGAGGUCAUUAAAUGAUGUAACAUGUUUACUAGCCCAAAAAUAUAUACUAAAAGAGUAGAAAGAAAACAAAAAAUUUCCAAAUCAGUAGCAAGGAUCAAGAAAACAAUCCAAAUGGAAGGAAAGAACAAUGUCCCUUGGAACAUAACAAUAGAACAUAAUAUGAACAGUACCUCCUUCUAUGUAGUGUAGAUAUUAAACAUAGGGUGGGAAGUACACAUAUCAAUUUCAAAAUAGUGGUUUAAUCUGAAAUUGUUAAACAGAGAGGGAGGGAAGCAAUAGAACUGAGAGAGCGUUCAAAAGCCUUUUGUUGUAUCUGUAGAGUCUUUUAUUUCUUAAAAAUACAAUCGUAUACCACAUGAUAACAUUUUGGCCAAUGGACUACACAUAUGACAUGGUCCCAUAAGAUUAUAGUACUGUCUUUUUACUGUACCUUUUCUAUGUUUAGAUAUAUUUACAUAUACAAAUACCACUGUUAAAUUGCCUACAGUAUUCAGCACAGUAACAUGCUGUGCAGGAUUGUAGCCUAGGAGCAAUGGGCUACACCAUGUGGCCUAGGUGUGUCGUAGGCUCUACUAUUUUGGUUUGUAUAAGUACACUCUAUGAUGUUCACACAAUGAUGAAAUCACCUAACGAUGCAUUUCUCAGAAUAAGUUUCUGUUGUUAAGCAACCCAUGAUUGUAUCUGAAGCAAAUAUCUAUA
rnacentral:lncRNA from 1 species